CGAGCGGACAGAAGGGAGCUUGCUCCCGGAUGUUAGCGGCGGACGGGUGAGUAACACGUGGGUAACCUGCCUGUAAGACUGGGAUAACUCCGGGAAACCGGAGCUAAUACCGGAUAGUUCCUUGAACCGCAUGGUUCAAGGAUGAAAGACGGUUUCGGCUGUCACUUACAGAUGGACCCGCGGCGCAUUAGCUAGUUGGUGAGGUAACGGCUCACCAAGGCGACGAUGCGUAGCCGACCUGAGAGGGUGAUCGGCCACACUGGGACUGAGACACGGCCCAGACUCCUACGGGAGGCAGCAGUAGGGAAUCUUCCGCAAUGGACGAAAGUCUGACGGAGCAACGCCGCGUGAGUGAUGAAGGUUUUCGGAUCGUAAAGCUCUGUUGUUAGGGAAGAACAAGUGCAAGAGUAACUGCUUGCACCUUGACGGUACCUAACCAGAAAGCCACGGCUAACUACGUGCCAGCAGCCGCGGUAAUACGUAGGUGGCAAGCGUUGUCCGGGAAUUAUUGGGCGUAAAGGGCUCGCAGGCGGUUUCUUAAGUCUGAUGUGAAAGCCCCCGGCUCAACCGGGGAGGGUCAUUGGAAACUGGGAAACUUGAGUGCAGAAGAGGAGAGUGGAAUUCCACGUGUAGCGGUGAAAUGCGUAGAGAUGUGGAGGAACACCAGUGGCGAAGGCGACUCUCUGGUCUGUAACUGACGCUGAGGAGCGAAAGCGUGGGGAGCGAACAGGAUUAGAUACCCUGGUAGUCCACGCCGUAAACGAUGAGUGCUAAGUGUUAGGGGGUUUCCGCCCCUUAGUGCUGCAGCUAACGCAUUAAGCACUCCGCCUGGGGAGUACGGUCGCAAGACUGAAACUCAAAGGAAUUGACGGGGGCCCGCACAAGCGGUGGAGCAUGUGGUUUAAUUUCGAAGCAACGCGAAGAACCUUACCAGGUCUUGACAUCCUCUGACAACCCUAGAGAUAGGGCUUUCCCUUCGGGGACAGAGUGACAGGUGGUGCAUGGAUGUCGUCAGCUCGUGUCGUGAAGAUGUUGGGUUAAGUCCCGCAACGAGCGCAACCCUUGAUCUUAGUUGCCAGCAUUCAGUUGGGCACUCUAAGGUGACUGCCGGUGACAAACCGGAGGAAGGUGGGGAUGACGUCAAAUCAUCAUGCCCCUUAUGACCUGGGCUACACACGUGCUACAAUGGACAGAACAAAGGGCUGCGAGACCGCAAGGUUUAGCCAAUCCCACAAAUCUGUUCUCAGUUCGGAUCGCAGUCUGCAACUCGACUGCGUGAAGCUGGAAUCGCUAGUAAUCGCGGAUCAGCAUGCCGCGGUGAAUACGUUCCCGGGCCUUGUACACACCGCCCGUCACACCACGAGAGUUUGCAACACCCGAAGUCGGUGAGGUAACCUUUAUGGAG
rnacentral:rRNA from 1 species